rnacentral:rRNA from 1 species
CCUACGGGUGACAGCAGUGAGGAAUAUUGGUCAAUGGACGCAAGUCUGAACCAGCCAUGCAGCGUGAAGGAAGACGGCUCUAUGAGUUGUAAACUGCUUUUGUAAGAGGGUAAACGCAGAUACGCGUAUCUGUCUGAAAGUAUCUUACGAAUAAGGAUCGGCUAACUCCGUGCCAGCAGCCGCGGUAAUACGGAGGAUUCAAGCGUUAUCCGGAUUUAUUGGGUUUAAAGGGUGCGUAGACGGGUGGAUAAGUCAGAUGUGAAAUCCCGAGGCUCAACCUCGGAAUUGCCUUUGAUACUGUCCGGCUAGAGAGUAGUUGCGGUAGGCGGAAUGUAUGGUGUAGCGGUGAAAUGCUUAGAGAUCAUACAGAACACCGAUUGCGAAGGCAGCUUACCAAGCUACUUCUGACGUUGAGGCACGAAAGCGUGGGGAGCAAACAGGAUUAGAUACCCGAGUAGUC